GUUAAGCUACUUUCACGUAAUUCCAUAAAAUUUCGUAGAUUUUUUUAGCUAAAUGACAAAGCAAAUGAUGCAAUGAUGAAGAUUACCUAUUAAUUUUACUUAACCAUGAAGAAAUCAAAGAAAAUAAAUUGAGCCAUCAAUUUAUUUUAAGUUUGUUAAGUUUGUUACUUGUAUGACUAUGUUUAAUGUUCUCAAACGCUCUUGACAUUAUAAGUCCCACCUACAUCUGGAUGAGGAAUGUUGAAUGUAGGGAUCUAUGGAACCGUAGCUGGAAUAAGUAUUACUUUGUUUGGUGUCGCGAGUAUAAACCUUAAAUAGUCUUUGAUCUAGGAACAUAUAGGAUGUAGUCGAAGGAUCCUAAUUGUCGUCAUCAAUUUGUUAAAAACCAUUAUUUUUUUAUUAACCAAUCUUGUAAAAUCCCCCAAAUUUACUGCUUUUAUUAUAAAUUUAGUUAAUUGCCCAGUUGAAAAGAACAAUAUGGAGACGAUAACUUAAUACAUUAUUACUUGAAAAAGGUUUAGUGAACUUGCCAAAUUUAUCUUCAUAUAUAAUAACAACAGUGCUUAAAGUUUGUGUCUGAUCAUGGAUACGUAGGUAUUUUGCCUUUAUUAUCGUUCUUUAUCAAAUACUUAUAUAUGUAAAUCCUCUUAGAGUACAAAGCCUUCAAUACAAGGUUCUGGAAAUUAUAAAAAUAAAAAUUCAAUUAAUGGAUUCCAACAAAAUGAAUAAAUCAUAGUCCAUACAUAUUCUUAAAGGACUUUUGUGUACUCUCUUGGUUCUUGCACAACAUACAAAAUCACUUGGGAUUAGGUUUUUAUUUGAACUACGGUCUAACACAUUUAUAAAUACCGUUGACACACUUCACGACCAAAUAAGACGGACACAUAUUUUUUGCACAAUCAUCAUCUCUGAAACAUUUUCUACGACCAACCGUUUCAAUGAAAAAAGAGAAUAAAAAAAUGUAACUAAAAUAAGAUGAAAUUAUUUUGUAAGAAGUAAAGAAGUAAAUUAUAAAAGAUAAAAAAAAAAGGAUUACCGUCAAUAUUUUUUGCAGCAAUAAAUGAGCAAAGAAAUAUAAUUAUAACACAUAUAAACUUGAAACUUUCAGCCAUAUUCUCCAACUCUAUGUAACAGUUGGUUUUAUCACUUUAUAAUUUUCAAUGCU
rnacentral:lncRNA from 1 species